rnacentral:misc_RNA from 1 species
GAUGAAGAACGUAGCAAAAUGCGAUACUUGGUGUGAAUUGCAGAAUCCCGUGAACCAUCGAGUUUUUGAACGCAAGUUGCGCCCGAAGCCUUUUGGCCGAGGGCACGUCUGCCUGGGCGUCACGCAUCGCGUCGCCCCCCACAAUUCUCCGUAAAAGGAACAUGUGUUUUGGGGGCGGAUAUUGGUCUCCCGUGCUCAUGGCGUGGUUGGCCGAAAUAGGAGUCCUUUCGAUGGACGCACGAACUGGUGGUGGUCGUAAAAACCCUCGUCUUUUGUUUCGUGCUGUUGCUCGCAAGGUAAACUCUUUAAAAACCCCAAUGUGUCGUCUCUUGACGACGCUUCGACCGCGACCCCAGGUCAGGCGGGACUACCCGCUGAGUUUAAGCAUAUCAAUAAGCGGAGGA